CAUCUUCCCUGCCCUGUGUGUUUGUUGCAAAGGAUCCAUACUAAAUAUGAUUUAUGUUUGAAAAUAACAGAGCAACAUUUACAUUUUCAGCGGUCCAACACAUGCUUUAUUUUGCACUGUAAACUAACCUUUUUAUUGCAACAGGUUCCUUUUAAAUGAUCCAGUGUAAUAACUACUGCUUGUGUCUUCUAUGUCUCACAUUAUGUGUUAUUUUAAAUUGUGGUAUAUAGCCUGAAUCAGAAAUCAUGGACAAAGGUUUUUACCUGUAUUACAAAGGGCUCUUGGAGACUGACCGGUCUAAAGGUUUGCCAUGCCUUUAAAACAUGGUACAGUAUAAAUUUUUAAGUCUCUGAGAGUUCUGAAAGAUUCAGGUGAAACCAUGUCUGUUUAAUCUGGUCCAGAUGUUUGUUCAAUUUCUGUAAGAUUUAAGUUGAUGCAGCAUCAUCUCAGAUUAGUUAAUGGAAGUUUUAUACAAAUAGUUGAGUUAUGAGCGCGCUAUAUAAAUGGAUCCUUUCUUUAAAUACAAUACUAUAGUAGAUUAAAGUAAUGAAGUUAAUUAAGAAAAUGUAUACAUAAGAAUCCCUAAAAUAAAUCUAAACUAAAAUUGGUAUACUUUCCAAUAAUAUGUUCUGAAUACAGCUGUUAACUGUUUAUUCUGUGUAAAUGGUGAUUGUGAUAAUGUGUGAUAAGUGUGCAGUUUAACUUGAAAGUGGUUUAAUGUAUAUGUUGCUGUAUUGUUUUAAAUUAUAUGUGAAUCAGUUUGUCACAGUCUAGUGAUACUGAUAAGAAUGACAGAGAAAUAACCUAGCAAAUAACUGUUUUAUUAGUUGUUGAAUACUAGCGUUUUGGCCAAGAAUAGUUGGAGAUUUGGAGGUGUUAGUUUAAGAUUGCUUUUAUAUUGUGUCUAUCCGUGUUUCCUAGGAAGGACACAGAGUGUGUAGUUGUGUGCCCAUAAAUGUGAUUUCUGUAUUGGCAUAUCUGCUGGGUACCCAUUAUGUGUUUCUACAAAGAUAUUGUUUUAUGAGAUGACUAAUAUUACAUUGGAUGCUGAGUAUGAGUUAUAUGGUUUGAAAUGAAUUGGUGAUUAUGAGCUUAGUACUUCAGUAAGAUGUGCUAAAAUUUGGAACAAGGUGGAAGCUGAAAUGUUGGGAUUAUGGAAGAAUAAGCAGUCUAUAUUCACUGCUUUGGCAUUUAAGCAGGAUGCAAAGGAAGAGAUUGGUAAUAUGAUUUUUGUAAAGAAAUUUUACAAGUGUUGGAAGGAUGAGGCAGGUUUGAUGUCUGGAGAUGAUAUAGAUCUCUUUAAAAUACAGUCAUGCCUUGGUAAUAUGUUGCCACAGUAUUCUUUGCUUGUGAAACAAUUGAUUUCAGACUGGGCCAAUUUGGAUAGCUCAGAUUUUCUUACCAAGGUUAUAGAAAAGGAAAAUGCAGGUUGUUUUGAAUUAAGAAAAGAUUUAGGAAAGUAAGGUUGCUUAUUAUGCUCAGGGAUUGCCACCUACACAGGCUGAGAGCGAGGAUGGGAUGGAGCACAUAAAGCCCGUGGAAGGGGUGGUCAAAGAGGGGCAAGGGGAUGGAGACAGGGAAAUCAGGGUUAUAGGGGCAGGGGUAACCAAGGAGGAAUAGACAGGAACACUUGUUUCAACUGUGGCCAAUAUGGCCACUGGAGGAAUGAGUGUCCACACCCCAGGAAACCCCACACACCCCAACAACCCCACCUUUCUCAAAAUAUGCCCGGUAGGCAAGAACAACACCAGACCCACUCCCAACACCACUGGCCAGCAUAUCGCUUAGUUCAGGACUUUAGAGCCCUGAAUAGUUUAAUUGUGCCCAUUUCACCCAUUGUCCCUGAUGUGACAUCCCUCAUUACAGCCAUUCCACAUGAUGCCACUUGCUUCACUGUCAUUGAUUUAAGUAAUGCAUUUUUUUCUAUACCUAUUGAUCAAGAGACACAGCUACUUAUGGUUUUUAUUUUUUGAAGGCUGUCAGUUUACCUGGACACGCUUACCCAAGGCUAUGUGGAUUCCCCAGCUGUUUAUUCGUUGGUACUCUAACAUACUCUAAAAAACAUGGACCACCGGUCAUGGUUCCGUCCUUUUUGCAAAAUGUUGAUGAUUUGUUGUUAUGUAGCCCUAGCUAUGAGGCAAGCACUGUGGAUACUGUCAGCAACUGUAGGUCACAAGGUUGUUAAACACAAAAUGCAAUUGUGUAAAUCAAAGGUUGAAUACUUAGGUUUUGUUCUGGCUUUAGGCACCAGACAAUUGAGUCCAAAACGUAUUGAGGUCAUUCAGAGGAUUCCUACACCCACUACUCGGAAGGAGUUGCUCACCUUCCUCGGCAUGAUUAAUUACUGCCACCAUGGAUCCCUGAAUGCUCCCAUUAUGACUCAAUCCUAAGGGAGG